rnacentral:rRNA from 1 species
CCUACGGGAGGCUGCAGUGAGGAAUAUUGGUCAAUGGGCGAGAGCCUGAACCAGCCAAGUCGCGUGAAGGAUGACGGCCCUACGGGUUGUAAACUUCUUUUGUCAGGGAGCAAUUGAGUCCACGUGUGGGCUUAGCGAGAGUACCUGAAGAAAAAGCAUCGGCUAACUCCGUGCCAGCAGCGGCGGUAAUACGGAGGAUGCGAUCUUUAUCCGGAUUUAUUGGGUUUAAAGGGUGUGUAGGCGGAAUAUCAAGUCAGCGGGAAAAAUUCGGGGCUCAACCCCGUCGUGCCGUUGAAACUGAUGUUCUUGAGUGGGCGAGAAGUAUGCGGAAUGCGUGGUGUAGCGGUGAAAUGCAUAGAUAUCACGCAGAACUCCGAUUGCGAAGGCAGCAUACCGGCGCCCAACUGACGCUGAAGCACGAAAGCGUGGGUAUCGAACAGGAUUAGAUACCCUGGUAGUC